rnacentral:rRNA from 1 species
AGUUCGGACUGCAGUCUGCAACUCGACUGCACGAAGCUGGAAUCGCUAGUAAUCGCGGAUCGGAAUGCUGCGGUGAAUACGUUCCCGGGUCUUGUACACACCGCCCGUCACACCAUGGGAGUCGGAAAUGCCCGAAGCCGGUGACCCAACCAAAAGGAGGGAGCCGUCGAAGGCAGGUCUGAUAACUGGGGUGAAGUCGUAACAAGGUAGC